rnacentral:rRNA from 1 species
GACGAACGCUGGCGGCGUGCUUACCACAUGCAAGUCGAACGGUAAGGCCCUUCGGGGUACACGAGUGGCGAACGGGUGAGUAACACGUGGGUGAUCUGCCCUGCACCUCGGGAUAAGCCUGGGAAACUGGGCCUAAUACCGGAUAGGACCACUGCCUGCAUGGGUGGUGGUGGAAAGCUUUUGCGGUGUGGGAUGGGCCCGCGGCCUUUCAGCUUGUCGGUGGGGGAAUGGCCUACCAAGGCGACGAUGGGUAGCCGGCCUGAGGGGGUGACCGGCCAAGCUGGGACUGAGAUACGGCCCGGACUCCUACGGGAGGCAGCAGUGGGGAAUAUUGCACAAUGGGCGCAAGCCUGAUGCAGCGACGCCGCGUGAGGGAUGACGGCCUUCGGGUUGUAAACCUCUUUCAGCACCGACGAAGCGCAAGUGACGGUAGGUGCAGAAGAAGGACCGGCCAACUACGUGCCAGCAGCCGCUGUAA